rnacentral:rRNA from 1 species
AUUGAACGCUGGCGGCAUGCCUUACACAUGCAAGUCGAACGGCAGCGGGGGAGAAGCUUGCUUUUCCUGCCGGCGAGUGGCGAACGGGUGAGUUAUACAUCGGAACGUGCCCUGUAGUGGGGGAUAACUAGUCGAAAGAUUAGCUAAUACCGCAUACGACCUGAGGGUGAAAGUGGGGGACCGCAAGGCCUCAUGCUAUAGGAGCGGCCGAUGUCUGAUUAGCUAGUUGGUGGGGUAAAGGCCUACCAAGGCGACGAUCAGUAGCUGGUCUGAGAGGACGAUCAGCCACACUGGGACUGAGACACGGCCGAGACUCCUACGGGAGGCAGCAGUGGGGAAUUUUGGACAAUGGGCGAAAGCCUGAUCCAGCAAUGCCGCGUGUGUGAAGAAGGCCUUCGGGUUGUAAAGCACUUUUGUCCGGAAAGAAAUGGCUCUGGUUAAUACCUGGGGUCGAUGACGGUACCGGAAGAAUAAGGACCGGCUAACUACGUGCCAGCAGCCGCUGUAA